CCUGCCUCAGCCUCCCGAGUAGCUGGGGUUACAGGCACCCACCACCACACCCAGCUAAUUUUUGUAUUUUUAGUACAGACGGGGUUUCACCAUGUUGGCCAGGAUGUUCUCGAUCUCUUGACCUCGUGAUCCACCCGCCUCGACCUCCCAAAGUGCUGGGAUUACAGGCAUGAGCCACCGCACCCAGCCUGGAGCAAAAAAACUAUAAGACGUCCAAGCCCUCUUCACCAGCCAGGACUGCUGUAGUCAACAUCCUGUUUGAGACCUGAUUGGAAUGCCUGGCUCUCUUUUUUUUUUUUUUUUUUUUUGAGAUGUAGUCUCGCUCUGUCACCCAGGCUGGAGUGCAGUGGUGCAAUCUUGGCUCACUGCAACCCCCACCUACUGGGUUCAAGCGAUUCUCCUGCCUCAGCCUCCUGAGUACCUGGGACUACAGGUGCACACCACCACACCUGGCUAAUUUUUGUAUUUGUAGUAGAGAUGGAGUUUCACCAUAUUGGCUAGUCUGGUCUCAAACUCCUGACCUUGUGAUUCGCCUGCCUCGGCCUCCCAAAGUGCUGGGAUUACAGGUGUGAGCCACCACACCUGGCCAUCUCUCCUUUUUAGUAAGCAACUAGAGUUGGGAUUCCAGAUGUGGCCAGGCACAUGCACCUCUGGAGAGACUACCCUGUCUGCUAAAGCUGGAAGAAUAAAAGAAAUGGGUGAUUGUGCUAUCUCCUGUUUCUCUUCUUUAAUAUGUUUAUAUUGAAGGCUUAAUUUAAUUAGCUAAUAAAGGUGCAUUAGGAAGAACUAACAUGAAAUAUUUUCUCUUGUCCUUAAAUCCAGUUCAGGGAUCUCCUAAAAACAGGAACAUACUUGUGUUCUGGGACAGAUGAGACUUGAAAUUCCAAACCCAGAAUGUCUUUGUCUUUAUUUUUCUUUUCUUUUCUUUUUUUUUUUUUUUUUUUGGGUAAAGUUUUGCUCUGUCACCCAGGGUGGAGUACAAUGGCGAGAUCUUGGCUCACUGCAACCUCUGCCUCCCUGGCUCAAGCCAACCUUCCACCUCAGCCUCCUGAGGAGCUGGGACUACAGGCACGCAUUACUUCCUAGCUAAUUUUUGUACUUCUUGUAAAGAUGAAGUUUUGCCAUGUUGCCCAAGCUGGUCUCAAACUCCUGACCUCAGGCAAUCCACCUGCCUCGGCCUCCCAAAGUGCUGGGAUUACAGGCAUGAGCCACCAUCCCUGGCCCAGAAUGUCUUUUUAUUUUUCAAUUUUUUUAUAUCUUUUUGCUAAUCUUCUCUGUAUUGUUCCAAUUUUAGUAUAUGUGUUGCUGAAGUGAACAUUUAUUUUUAUUCAAUGGGUUCUUCCUAGCCACUGUGCAAGCCCAGAAUAUGUGAGGUGGAAUUCACCAGAACCAUAGGUAUUCUUUUAAAAUAUCCCUCAACACAUCAGCCAAUUUAUAAAAAGAAUUCAAAGAAACAUAGAGUUGCAAAUUGAUGUGAUUUAGUCUCCUCUCCUCCUUGUUAGAAUUCCAGUUUUUCCGUCUCCAAAUAGCCGGGGUUGGAAGAUGGGUUCUCGCCCUGACACCGCAGAGCUCUGUCUCAUCUAUAGAACAAGAGUACAGCCGCCUCCGUUAUCUCCCGACUGCAGCUGCUCUUAACGGUUUCGCUCUUGUUGCCCAGGCUGGAGUGCAGUGGUGUGAACUCAGCUCACCGCAACCUCCGCCUCCCAGGUUCAAGCGAUUCUCCUGCCUCAGCCUCCCGAGGAGCUGGGAUUACAGGCAUGCGCCAUCAUGCCCAGCUAAUGUUUUGUAUGCACCUUUUCUUAACUAUUAUUGAAGGGGUGGCCUGCCCCUCCACACCUGUGGGUGUUCCUCGUUGGGUGGAACGAGAGACUGAGAAAAGAAAGAGACACAGCGACAAAGUAUAGAGAAAGAAAAGUGGGCCCAGGGGACUGGCGCUCAGCAUAAGGAGGACCCGCACCAGCACCAGUCUCUGAGUUCCCUCAGUAUUUAUUGAUCAUUAUCUCUACCAUCUCAGAGAGGGGGACGUGGCAGGACAAUAGGGUAAUAGUGGGGAGAGGGUCAGCAGGAAAACAUGUGAACAAAUGUCUGUGUCAUAAACAAGGUUAAGAAAAGGUGCUGUGCUUUUGACGUGCACAUACAUAAACAUCUCGGUGCAUUAAAAAGCAGUAUUGCCGCCAGCAUGUCUCACCUCCAGCCCUAAGGUGGUUUUCUCCUAUCUCAGUAAAUAGAACAUACAAUCGGGUUUUACACCAAAACAUUCCAUUGCCCAGGGAUAAGCAGAAGACAGAUGCCUUCCUCUUAUCUCAACUGCAAAGAGGCCUUCCUCUUUUACUAAUCCUCCUCAGCACAGACCCUUUGUGGGUGUCGGGCUGGGGGACAGUCAGGUCUUUCCCUUCCCACGAGGCCAUAUCUCAGGCUAUCACAUGGGGAGAAACCUUGGACAAUACCUGGCUUUCCUAGACAGAGGUCCCUGCGGCCUUCCGCAGUGUAUUGUGUCCCUGGGUACUUGAGAUUAGAGAGUGGUGAUGACCUUUAACAAGCAUGCUGCCUUCAAGCACUUGUUUAACAAAGCACAUCCUGCACAGCCCUAAAUCCAUUAAACCGUGAGUCAACACAGCACAUGUCUCUGUGAGCACAGGGUUGGGGGUAGGGUUACAGAUUAACAGCAUCUCAAGGCAGAAGAAUUUUUCUCAGCACAGACCAAAAUGGAGUCUCUUAUGUCUACUUCUUUCUACAUAGACACAGUAACAGUCUGAUCUCUUUUUCUUUUCCCCACAAUUAUAAGAGUAUACAAGGUGGUGAUGAAGAAACCUGGGAUUACGUGCUGUGAAAUGGGGAUAACAGCAAUUCUAACUUCAUAGUUUUCUCAUGGUAAUUAAAUGACACAAAAUCAUGUUAAGUUCCAAGACAAGAGUCUGGUGCAUUUUAAGUGCUCAGUAAAUACUAGCAAUUAUUAAUUGUUGUUAUUUGCCACCAUUCUCCAAGAGUACAAGAAAAUAUUUAUGACUGGACUUAGGGAGCAAACACUCACGUU
rnacentral:lncRNA from 1 species